GUGUAGCUCAGUGGUAAAGUGUGUGCUUAGCACACAGGAGGCCCUGGGUUCCAUCCCCAGCACA
rnacentral:tRNA from 1 species